CUGGAAUAUCACCAAACACCUAAUCCAGAUUAUUCAAAAUGAGGCCACCAGGACUUAAAGGACUACUGUAGUAUUUUAUGGCUCCAUGGCUGUGCUGUUCAACCAUCCAGACCAACACUGAAUUAGCAUUGACCAACCUGGUUUUCCACGCUGGUCUAAACUGGUCUUUUAGUGAGGAGAUCAAGUCUGGCUGGAUCUUCCCAUCUGAUUUGAUUGUCUAACCUGAGCACAGUAAAUUAGCUUCAUAUACUGUAGAUAUACUGUAUG